rnacentral:rRNA from 1 species
CCUACGGGAGGCUGCAGUAGGGAAUCUUCCACAAUGGGCGAAAGCCUGAUGGAGCAACGCCGCGUGGGUGCAGAAGGUCUUCGGAUCGUAAAACCCUGUUGUUAGAGAAGAAAGUGCGUGAGAGUAACUGUUCACGUUUCGACGGUAUCUAACCAGAAAGCCACGGCUAACUACGUGCCAGCAGCCGCGGUAAUACGUAGUUGGCAAGCGUUAUCCGGAUUUAUGGGUCGUAAAGGUAACGCAGGCGGUCUUUUAAGUCUGAUGUGAAAGCCUUCGGCUUAACCGGAGUAGUGCAUUGGAAACUGGGAGACUUGAGUGCAGAAGAGGAGAGUGGAACUCCAUGUGUAGCGGUGAAAGGCGUAGAUAUCACGCAGAACCCCGAUGGCGAAGGCAGCAUGCCGGCUUCCGACUGACGCUGAAGCACGAAAGCGUGGGGAUCGAACAGGAGUAGAUACCCGGGUAGUC